rnacentral:rRNA from 1 species
ACGACCUACCUCUGACAGGGGGAUAGCCCUGGGAAACUGGGAUUAAUACCGCAUAUUAUUCUGAUUAAUAAAGGAUUGGAAUGAAAGUUCAGGCGGUCAGAGAUGGGUGUGCGUCUGAUUAGCUAGUUGGUGGGGUAACGGCCUACCAAGGCGAUGAUCAGUAGGGGGCGUGAGAGCGUGGUCC